UGCAGGCUUCACGUUGGGCUUCAACUCACGCUUCGUUUGCGGCCCACCUUCGUGUUCUCUGUUUCUCUUCGAUCGGCGGAGGGACGAUCCAGUCUCUUCCUUCUUCGUGCGACGGCGACUCGAUCGUUUGCGCUUCUUCACACCAUCCGAAACGGUCCGAUUAAUAGCUUUGUGAUUGAUCAGAUUGAUUGACUCCUCCCACGAUGUUGUCUUCAAUACUUUGUAUAAAUACGUGUUUAUUCCUCCGUUCUUAAGUCCGGCGAGGGCUCUUCCGUCGCCGAGGCUAGGCUUCUGCCGUUCUGUGAGGCGGUGGUGGUGAACUCAUGUGGAUCGACAUGUUAAUGGUGGACAUUAACGCAAGUUCAUUUUACUGAUUUUGAUGGUUUUAUAUUCAAAUGAUUACGGGGAACCUCCUACUGUUUGUUCAUCUAUAUUUAUAUUUUUUCUUGGAUCUUCUUCCUGUUUGUUAAUUAUGCGAUGUAUGAAAUUAUUUUUUAAGUGAUAAUCAAUGCAAGCCAUCCCGUGAAAUGCAUCAGUUCUGUCUUCUCCUUCUGGACGCAAAAGCUUGCAGGGAGAAGCAAGUUUUGAAGUUCCUUACUUUGUUUAUGGCUGUGGAGAUUCCACUUGCUAUCUUACGCCACAAGGACCGGCAUAUCUGAGCAAAAGUUUGAAAUAAAGAAGCAUUUGAACAGGCUAAACAAACCCGAUGUCAAGAGCAUUCAGUUUACUUGCAGUUCCUUUUUUAGAUGAACCACAAUUACCUUCCUUGGGGACUCUUUGAGGAGGACAAAAGAAGAUGAUAUCUUAAGAGAAAGUUCAUUCAAAAGAUAUGGCAAGACGAUUCGUCAAAAAAAAAAGAUAUGGCAAGACGAAGCAUAGAACUUUCCCGUUUCCUAAAUCUGAGGAACCUGGCCUCAUGAACCAAAGUAGUCAUCAGAUGAGUCAAAUUUUCUUUUUCUUUGUUGGUUUCUUGGAAGUCUUAUUUCUCUAAUCAAACACAAUUUAUUAUCAGAUACUGUUUGCUCUCCGUUUCUCACAGGUGCAACUACAAAGUGCUUCUUAACCUUCACAUUGAAGUGACUUUACAUGUUAUAAACGGGCUCAUUGAUCUCUUAUUAUUUUCUUGGAUCCUCACAAACAGAGGUCGAGUCUUUAUGUCUAUUCCUAGAAUUGUUAAGUCUCAACGGCAUUAUCAGCCGCGAGGGAAUGGCAAAACUGUCAAAUAACACUACCACAAAAAACAGAGGACUGUAUCUAUACCACCAGUAAGUUUAGAUAACGUUACCGUGAUGAGAUCUGGUGCCACUUGGAAGGAGAACCGUAAUAUUGCAGGUUUGGGAUGGGUCAUCUACGGAGAGGAUGGACCGAUGAAGUUCUCAGCAGUGUAAGAGCAUGUCUCCACGCCUUUGUUGGCAGAGAGUAUAGCAAUGAAAGAAUCACUCGCCAAAUGCAAGGAGUUCGCUGUGUCAGACGUGAAGCAGAUUCUAAACAGCUUAUUGCCUGCAUCAGGAAGGAAUUGUAUCGGAUAUUGUAGUUUUAGCUUCAGAUUUUGAGGCCAUCUCUUUUGGAUGGAUCUCCCGUAUGGAAAAUGUUGUUGCAUACAGUCUUGCAUAACUAAGCAUUGUAGUAAA